UACGAAGGGGGCUAGCGUUGCUCGGAAUUACUGGGCGUAAAGCGCACGUAGGCGGUCUUUUAAGUCGGGGGUGAAAUCCUGGAGCUCAACUCCAGAACUGCCUUCGAUACUGGAAGACUUGAGUCCGGGAGAGGUGAGUGGAACUGCGAGUGUAGAGGUGAAAUUCGUAGAUAUUCGCAAGAACACCAGUGGCGAAGGCGGCUCACUGGUCCGGUACUGACGCUGAGGUGCGAAAGCGUGGGGAGCGAACAGG
rnacentral:rRNA from 1 species